GGCGGCACAGUGGAUUAGUGGUUAGUACUGGUGCAUCACAGCAAGAAGGUCGUGAGAUCGCUUCCCGUCCUUUCCCUAUUGUGUCUGUGUGGAGUUUGUAUGUUCUUCUC